rnacentral:rRNA from 1 species
AGGGCGUACGGCGGAUGCCUUGGCCAUAUCAGCCGAAGAAGGACGCGAUAAGCUGCGAUAAGCUGCGGUGAGGUGCAAGUAACCAGUGACCCGCAGAUUUCCGAAUGGGGAAACCCGGCAGUAGUAGUACUGUCACCUCUCUUUGAGAGGAGGGCACCCGGUGAACUGAAACAUCUAAGUAGCCGGAGGAAGAGGAAUCAAAAGAGAUGCCCCCAGUAGCGGCGAGCGAAGCGGGCAAAGCCCAAACCGGAGCGGGAAACCGCACCGGGGUUGAGGACUACCAACAAGUACCUAGAUGAAGUCGAAUCAGGUGGGAACCUGAGCCAGAGACGGUGAGAGCCCGGUAGACGUAAAGAAGGGUAUGGGGUAGUAUCCAGAGUACCACGGGGCACGAGGAACCUUGUGGGAAGCAGGGGGGACCACCCUCCAAGGCGAAAUACUGAUAUGGACCGAUAGCGCAUAGUACCGUGAGGGAAAGGUGAAAAGAACCCCGGGAGGGGAAUGAAAGAGAACCUGAAACCGUAUGUCUACAAGCAGUCGAAGCACCGUAUGCGUGCGACGGCGUGCCUAUUGAAGAAUGAACCGGCGAGUUAUUUCAUCCGGCGAGGUUAAGCGGAAAACGCGGAGCCGAAGCGAAAGCGAGUCUGAACAGGGCGACAAGUCGGAUGGAAUAGACCCGAAACCACAGUGAUCUAUCCAUGCCCAGGUUGAAGCACAGGUAAAAAUGUGUGGAGGACCGAACCAGUGAGCGUUGAAAAGCUUUUGGAUGAGGUGUGGAUAGGGGUGAAAUGCCAAUCGAACGUGGAGAUAGCUGGUUCUCCCCGAAAUAGCUUUAGGGCUAGCCUCAUGGCAAGAGUGCAGGCGGUAGAGCACUGAACAGGGUAGGGGCCUAUCCGGCUACCGAACCUAAUCAAACUACGAAUGGCUGUACUUAUCCAUGGGAGUCAGACUGCGAGUGAUAAGACCCGUAGUCAAGAGGGAAACAGCCCAGACCAACAGCUAAGGUCCCCAAUGCCGUACUAAGUGGUAAAGGAUGUGGAGUUUCGAAAACAACCAGGAUGUUGGCUUAGAAGCAGCCACCAUUAAAAGAGUGCGUAAUAGCUCACUGGUCGAGAGACUCUGCGCCGAAGAUGACCGGGGCUAAAGUACGGAACCGAAGCUUUGGCAUGUAUGUAAAUACAUGGGUAGGGGAGCGUUCCUGCAUGGGCGAAGCCUGACCGGAAGGACAGGUGGACAGGCAGGAAGUGAGAAUGCCGGUAUGAGUAGCGAAAAGAAAGGUGAGAAUCCUUUCCACCGAAAGCCUAAGGGUUCCUGGGCAACGAUCGUCGACCCAGGGUAAGUCGGGACCUAAUCCGAGGCGAAGACGCAUAGGAGAUGGACAACAGGUUGAAAUUCCUGUACCGACGUCGUCUGUUUGAGCGAUGGAGUGACACAAGAAGGAAAGUUCGCAUGCGAUUGGAAGAGCAUGUCUAAGCAGGUAGGUUGAAUACCAGGCAAAUCCGGUAUUCUAAAAGCCGAGAAGUGAUAGGGAGCCUGUAGAAAUACAGGUGAAGGAACCGGGACUCGAUUGUCAAGAAAAGCUUCUAGUGAGGACGACGCCGCCCGUACCAAAACCGACACAGGUAGGCAAGAAGAGAAUUCUAAGGUGCGCGGGAAAACCCUCGUUAAGGAACUCGGCAAAAUGUAUCCGUAACUUCGGGAAAAGGAUAACCCAGAGUACGUGAAGGAAAGAAACAUCCGGAGCGGGAAUGGGUGGCACAAGAGAGGCCCAAGCGACUGUUUACCACAAACACACGGCGGCCGUAACUAUAACGGUCCUAAGGUAGCGAAAUUCCUUGUCGGGUAAGUUCCGACCCGCACGAAAGGUGUAACGAUUUGGGCACUGUCUCAACGAGGGACCCGGUGAAAUUGAAGUACCUGUGAAGAUGCAGGUUACCCGCGACUGGACAGAAAGACCCCAUGGAGCUUUACUGUAACCUGAGAUUGAAUUUUGGUAGAAGAUGUACAGGAUAGUUGGGAGACGUAGAAGCGCGCACGCCAGUGUACGCAGAGUCGAUGGUGGGAUACCAACCUUGUUUUAUUGAAAUUCUAACGAGAGCCGUAACGAGGCUGCGGACAGUCUCAGGCGGGCAGUUUGACUGGGGCGGUCGCCUCCGAAAGAGCAACGGAGGCGCCCAAAGGUUCCCUCAGCGCGGACGGAAACCGCGCGAAGAGUGUAAAGGCAGAAGGGAGCUUGACUGCGAGACGGACAGGUCGAGCAGGGACGAAAGUCGGGCUUAGUGAUCCGGUGGUAGAGAGUGGAAUUGCCAUCGCUCAACGGAUAAAAGCUACCCUGGGGAUAACAGGCUUAUCUCUCCCAAGAGUCCAUAUCGACGGGGAGGUUUGGCACCUCGAUGUCGGCUCAUCACAUCCUGGGGCUGUAGUAGGUCCCAAGGGUUGGGCUGUUCGCCCAUUAAAGUGGUACGCGAGCUGGGUUCAGAACGUCGUGAGACAGUUCGGUCCCUAUCCAUCGCGGGCGCAAGAAACUUGAAAGGGGCUGCUCCUAGUACGAGAGGACCGGAGUGGACGAACCAAUGGUGUAUCGGUUAUGCCGCCAGGCGUACAGCCGAGUAGCUACGUUCGGGACGGAUAAACGCUGAAAGCAUCUAAGCGUGAAACCAGCCUAAAGAUGAGGUUUCU